rnacentral:lncRNA from 1 species
CCGUUUUUUAUUUCUGAAAUUAUCUUUACUGAUAUAUUACAAAUUCUAUUAAAUAUAAGGGUAUUUUAGGAAUUAAGUUGGUUGUUGUCGACAGGCUAACGACGUAUAAAUAAAGAAUAAAAAAACAGAAGAAAUGUUGGUGACCGAAGAUCAGAACUCCGAUUUUAAUUAAGGAUAACGAUGAUGACUGAAAUCCAUCUCAUUUGAUCCUCUUUUUUUCUUUCUAUUAAGGUAAUUUUUGAUCGAAAUAGUUUGGUUGUUAACGCAGGUUUCUCGGAGUUUCUCAACCUGAUGGCUAGGAAGAAGGCGAAAGAAACAGAUUCCGAAGAGGAGUUGAAACGUUUGAUAAAGAGAAUAAAGGUUUCAUCACUAUCGUAGAUCUCCACCAUAUCAUGACCAAUUUGGGGGGAAAGCUCACCGUCGAAAAAGCUCCCCAAAUACCUAAAAUAAUUCAUUUUUUUGCAAAAGAAAAAAAAUAUUAAAAUAAAGGUUUUGGCACAAAGGUGUUGAUGCCAGCCAAGAUCACAAAUAAAUAAAUCAAACUAAUAAUCAGAGAAUCCCAACCUUUUUUGUUUGAAAUAGCAAAGAAUCCCAACAUAUAAGCAUGACGAAAAAAGAAAAAACCCACAUAGUUGUCCGUAGAAGAUUCCGACGAGAAAUUAACAUAAGUGAUUAAUCAGCCAACGGAAAGAAAUAUCCCAGAUCCGACAAUCCUUGGAAUCGACGACAUCAAAUAUGUAAAAAUAGCAGACAAUUGCAGUAAGAACAAUGGUGGAAAGAGAGCUAAAAAGGGAAACUUGGAGAAGGUGGAGAAAAACUAAACUAAACCAAAAUAAAAUAAAAUAAACUAAACAAAAAAUGAAAAACUAAACUAAAAUAAGAAACGAAGAGCUGUAGUCGUUUAGAAGAGGAGGAAGUGGAAAGAAGAAGAGGAAGCUUGCCUGAAUCUUCUUUUACCUGAAGCUUACCACAUCUAUAAACGAGUUCUGCUCUCUAUUCCCACCUUUUUCUGCCAUUUUCUUACAAUCCUUGGAAUCUUCUACACUAAAAUGAUCAUUUCUCUAAUAAACCGUCAUAAUUGCAUCCAUCUAUCUCUAAAAAACAGACGGCUCAGAUUGGAGAGCGUUUUUGAGCUUCUUUAGAGUGAGCUUAU